rnacentral:lncRNA from 1 species
AUUCAUAAAACCGAGGCCGAGAGGAAGAGGGAGGCGGCCUCCGACCCGCCGCCAGCGGCGGGCAGCGCCCGGACUUUGUGAAUGGAGCGCGCGGCGCCUUUCGCCGUCUACCCGCGGGCCCAGCCUGCGCCGCGCCUCCAGCCCGACACCGGCACCUGUGCCGCCGCUGCACCCCGCCGCUAGGCGGGCGGCGCCAAAGGAAAUAGCCGGCUGAGGAGGCCAGGGCUCGGGUUUGAGCUUUCAUCCCUUGGCACCUUCGCGCUUCCCCGCGUGACAGCCCCGUAGGUUUUUCCCGGUUACCCAAGUGGAGAGGGGACCGGAGCGCUGCUGCCCACCCAGCGGGGCCUGACACCUCCUAGCCCCAGACUCCCCGUGCGCUUUCGGCCCGGCCAGUCCUUUCUGAAUAUGCGAUUCCUGAGACGUUAGCGUAUGCAUUAGCGUGAUCGAUUUUCAUCUAAAGCCAUUAAAUCAGUUUUAUAGCUUCCCCAAGAACGUGGGCAACCCCCUGCUUGGAAGAUGAAAGAGAAAGUCCUCCCGCCCGAAGCCCAGGAUCGGAGUGAGGACAACAAAAUGUCUAAAUCACCUUUCCAAGGCUUCAACAAUGAAUGUAUUUUCCAAAUCAAUGUUGGAGUACAUGGUCAGAAAAGAUGUCUUUUGGACUUGUGAAAUUACUUAUAUAAAAAUUCUUACCAAGAUGGAAGCAUAAAAAACACAUUUAUUUAUAUGUUUACUAAAUCUUCUUUUAUUGAAAACAAUAAGACAACCUGAAAGCAAGUCUAUCAGAGAAAAUCUGGGACUUAUGUCUUCACUGACAAAAUAAUAAAUGAGACAAAGUGAUAGAAGACCUUUGUCAUGACACCUGUUUGCUACCAGAGCCCCAGGCCAUCGUCAUCCACUGAUGUCUCCACAUUAAUUCUGCAGAGGUCCUGGACAGUCUUCUCUGCCCUGUCUAAUGGUCAGUUAAUUCUCCUUGUAAGCACAUCAUGGCUGACCAGGUGCUGGACCGCGCAAAGAAAGGUGUCAGAGCUUUCAGCUUAAGCCUUGAUUGGGUGGUGAGUAGGUCUCCUGCAGCUAAUCAGUGGCUUUAGAAACCCUGGAGUCCUUCAGAAACCCUAAAGUUCUUCCUUCUGAUUUUUCUGGUAGACCAAAGGAAAAGGCCAACAACAAACAAUUUCUAAAUAAGAAAUUUCCACCUUAGCUAAAAGCAAAAGGCCUUUGAUACUCUAUAAGAUUGAUCAACUCACUUCAGUUGAAAUAAUGGUUUUCUGAAGUCAAGGCAUGAACAGCCUUUCCCCACUGGAUGGGAUGCUCAGAUUACCAGCCCUGGAAUGAAACAAAAGGAGAAGACUGUCUCACCCCACACUUCUCAACCAUUGGCCAUUCUGAGAUGACACCUGCAGAGCCACAGCCCCACCUGCCCGAGCACCCACGGGUGCCUUGGUCAUCCUGCACCAUGGAGCUGCUUGUCUCUCCUCUGUGUAAUCUAAUCUUCUAUGAGUCCAGUUUUUACAUGUUUAAAUUUCUUUUCCUUUUGUUUUUAGUUUACACAUAAUAAUUGUACAUAUUUAUGGAAUACAGACUGAUAUUUUCAUACAUGUAUCUACAUUGUGUAAUGAUCAAAUCAGGGUAAUUAGCAUAUCCAUCACCUCAAAUAUUGAUCACUUCUUUGUCUUGGGAACACUCAAAAUCGUCUCUCGUAGCUCUUUCAAAAUAUACAAUAAAUUCUUGUUAACUAUAUUCACCCUACGGUGCUAUAGAACACAAGAACUUAUUCAUCCUAUCUGGCUGUAAUUUUGUAUUCUUUAAGCAACCUUCCCCAUCUUCCUCUCCCUCAUCUAAUAACAUUCUCAGCCUCUAAUAACCACAACUCCACUCUCUACUUCCAUGAGCUCAACGUUUUUUUAGCUCCCACAUAUGAAUGAGGACAUGCAGUAUUUAUCUUUCUGUGCCUGACUUAUUUCAUUUAUGUAAUCUAAUUUUAAAACAAUUAUUUGGGCUCUCCGGAAUCAGUAAUACAAAAAGAAUACAGCAAAAUGUGCUGUUUUCUUUUGCAGAAAAGAAUUAUAGUCUCUCUCUACGUUUUCCAUUGGAAUUAGCAUAACAGUCCUCAAGGGUUUACCCACUGAGGGAGACACCAAGAGUCCCCUUUAAGCAGAGGGUAAUUACAUCCUGCUAUUCAGCCCAUUUACUGGAGGUUAACUCAUUAGCACCCCGCCAACUCCGUUUUUAAUCUAAUCUAUUUCUCUAUCUCCUCCCCUAGACUCACAAUGCUGUGUGUCCUCUCUGUUGCACCUAAAACUCUUCAUCAAGUAACCAGGCGAAGAGGUCUGUCUUCUCUUCCAGAAGCCCAAGAUCCCUUUUCCAAGGACUGUCUGGAUGCCCCUGCCUUGAAUCUGAGUUUUAUCUUCUGCAGACCUGGGCUUAAUUUGCUGCUCUGAAAAAGGACACAGGCUCUGUAGCCAGACAGAUGUGGGUUUUGAUGCCAGAGCCACCGUUUAAGUAGCUGGGGAACUUUGGGUACGUUUCUGGCCAUUGCUUUUCACAUCUUGUCACUGGGAAUGUUAUUAUUAUUUUAUCUAUUUUUUUUUUUGAGACGGAAUCUUGCUUUGUUGCCCAGGCUAGAGUGCAGUGGCUCUAUCUCAAUUCACUGCAAGCUCCGCCUCCCGGGUUCACUCCAUUCUCCUGCCUCAGCAUUCCAAGUAGCUGGGACUACAGGUGCGCACCACCACGCCCGGCUAACUUUUUGUAUUUUUAGUAGAGGCGGGUUUUCACAGUGUUAGCCAGGAUGAUCUCGAUCUCCUGACCUCCUGAUCCGCCCGCCUCGGCCUCCCAAAGUGCUGGGAUUACAGACGAGAGCCACCACGCCCAGCCAGGAAUGUUAUUAACACCUAGAUUCAUCAUUGGGAACAUUUUCAAAAAAUGUAUUAUUAUUCCUUAUUCCUUUCUCUUAGACAAUUUUUUCUUUUUAAGCUGAGAGGUGUCAAUAGGGCAACAUUUCUGAUUUAUACAUUGUUUUCUCCAUGGAGUUGCAUUUGGCAAAACUCCAGGUGCAUGGAAACACACAGGUGGGUCUUUGUGCCAUCAGGCUGGGCUGCUCAGUGGGCCCAGCUGUUAGUCCACGUGUUUGCCUGUGGGUCAACAGAACAGGAAAGGCUCCUGGAUUCUCUCUGUUGCUUUCCAUCCACCUGGACUGCUCCACCUCCUAUCCUCUCUGUCUCCUUGAUUCAACUCGAUGCUACCCUCAUUUAUCCAAGCAGAGAAAGGUGCUCCUUUCCUCUUUUAGUUUUCUCUCACCCUUCCUUCUUUUCACAUCUAUUUCUUACUGUUUCCUGCACAGUGCUUGUCUUUUCUCUGACAUUGUAUGAGCAAUUUCUUUGAUACAAUGGUAGUCUCCAAUUAUGCUACUGGGCAAGCCAGCCUAGAGGUUGUGGAACAGAAAGGCUCUCAGACCAACUUAAGUCACUCAUAUCGCAAGUUUUAUUGAAUCAGCUGAAAAUAUCCAGUACUUUCAAGGGGAAAGAUGUGAGAAAGGUUCACCCACUUAGCUUAAGGUGCAAGCAGGUGGCAGGACCACACGACCCGAUCCUCAGUGACUCAGUGUUCAUGUGACCGGUGUUCUCUUCUACAUUGACCUUCCAAGCUCAUGGGGUAGUUACUUUGGAACAAGGAGGCUCUGCAGAGAAAACUGCCUGAAGCCAAAAUGAUCUUGCUCUACCAGAGAGAUAAAGGGGCAAGUAUGCCUGGCCAAUAAAGAGCUUGCUAAACAGCCAUUGCUUUUCUCUGUGUUUCUAGACAAAGCUCAUGUGGGGAGAGAUGGGAUUAAUGUAGUUUCACCAAUGAUGGCUGAUUCAGCAAUAAUGUGCCUGUCAUAUAGAGGUGGCAUAAUACACACGUUGUAACUUGGCCUGUUCAUCUUUUUUCUGACUUUAAGUGUCAGAGGCAUGUGAACCAGAGCAACUCCAUCUUAACUCGGAGCUGGGUAAAAUGAGGCUGAGACCUACGGGGCUGCAUUCCCAGUUGGUUAAGGUAUCCUAAGUCCCAGGAUGAGACAGAAGGUCAGCAUAAAAUACAGGUCAUAAAGAUCUUGCUGAUGAAACAGGUUGCAAUACAGAAGCUGGCUAAAACCCACCAAAACCAAGAUGGCCAAGAGAGUGACCUCUGGUCUUCCUCACUGCUACAUUCCCACCAGCACCAUGACAGUUUACAAAUGCCAUGGCAACAUCAGGAAGUUAACCUUUAUGAUCUAAAAAGGGGAGGCAUGAAUAAUCCACCCCUUUUUUAGCAUAUGAUCAAGAAAUAACCAUAAAAAUGGGCAGCCAGCAGCCCUCGGGGCUGCUCUACCUAUGGAUCAGCCACGCUUGUAUUCCUUUACUUUCUUAAUAAAUUUGCUUUCACUUUGCUCUAUGGACUUGCCCUGAAUUCUUUCUUGUGCAAGAUCCAAGAACUCUCUCUUGGGGUCUGGAUUGGGACCCCUUUCCUGUAACGUAAGCAACAUUUUUAUUUGUUCUAUUCUUUUUUAAGAAUUGUGAUAUAACACACAGAACAUAAACUUUACUGUGUUGAUGAUGUUUGAGUAUAAUUCAGCGGCAUUAAGCGCAUUCACACUGUUGUGCAACCAUUACCACUGUCCAUUUUCAGAACUUUUGCAUCACCCCAGACUAAAAACUGUGUGCAUUAAACACUAACUCCCCACUCCCCUCCCCUUAGCCCCUAGUAAUCUCGAUUCUACUUUCUGUCUCUAUGAAUUUGCCUAUUCUGGAUACCUCAUAUAAGCAAAAUCAUACAGGAUUUGUCCUUUUGUGUCUGGCUUAUUUCAAUACUUGGCAUAAUGUUUUCAAGUUCACCCAUGUUGUAGCAUGUAUCAAAAUUUUAUUCCAUUUUAGGGUUGAGUAAUAUUCCAUCAUUUGUGUAUACCAUAUAUUUUUUAAUUCACUCAUUUGUUGAUGAACAUUUGAGUGGUUUCUUUCUUUUGGCUAUUGUGAGUGAUGCUGCUACAAACAUGGAUGUUCAGGUAUCUGUUUGAGUCUCUGCUUUCAUUUCUUUGAGAGUAUAUACCUAGAAGUGGAAUUGCUGGGUCCUAUGGUAAUUCUGCUUAAAUUUUUGAGAGACCACCGGUUUCAUCCUUUUUUAAAAUCAGUGUUCAAUAUUCACAUAUUCUGUUUAUUUCUAUGGCUAACAUUAGUUUUUCUUAUUUUUUUAUAGCAAAAUUAAGUAUUCCUAAAUAUUGCAGCCAAUUCACCUUACAACCCCUUCCCAUAUUAUCUACCCAGCAGGCACUGUAAGGUCUGUUCUUGGAUACUGACAAACAUUCUGCAAUCCUCAGUCCACAGCUGUACACCAAAUAUUUGGAACAGAGAUCAGUUAACUGAUUAAUUACUAUGACUUUGUGCUCGGGGAACAUGCCAAGCACCAAUCCCCCACCUUCCCCACCCUGCCUGUGUCUCUGUUCCCUUUGUGUUCCCUACAUUCUUUCAAAUACCUGCAAAUCCACCUUCUCUACCACGCAUCAAUGUUGCUGGCUUCCAUUUCUUAUUGAUUUUGUAUGACUUUGAGGUUUCCUGCCUGGGUACCCAGGACCAUGACUCUCUCUCUGGAGAUACCCAUCCUGACUGAUACACCCUAGCCACCUCCCUUUACGCUCCCUCUACUCCAUCCUCAGUCCAAGAGCUUCAGGCACUCCAGUCCUGCCCCAGAGACGCAGGUUUCAUCCUCUCGCAUGCUUUGCAGGAACUUCUUUAUUUUAUUGU